rnacentral:rRNA from 1 species
GAUGAACGCUGGCGGCGUGCUUGACACAUGCAAGUCGAACGGUGAAGCAGGAGCUUGCUCUUGUGGAUCAGUGGCGAACGGGUGAGUAACACGUGAGCAACCUGCCCCUGACUCUGGGAUAAGCGCUGGAAACGGCGUCUAAUACUGGAUAUGUGAUGUGACCGCAUGGUCUGCAUCUGGAAAGAAUUUCGGUUGGGGAUGGGCUCGCGGCCUAUCAGCUUGUUGGUGAGGUAAUGGCUCACCAAGGCGCCGACGGUUAGCCGGCCUGAGAGGGUGACCGGCCACACUGGGACUGAGACACGGCCCAGACUCCUACGGGAGGCAGCAGUGGGGAAUAUUGCACAAUGGGCGGAAGCCUGAUGCAGCAACGCCGCGUGAGGGAUGACGGCCUUCGGGUUGUAAACCUCUUUUAGCAGGGAAGAAGCGAAAGUGACGGUACCUGCAGAAAAAGCACCGGCUAACUACGUGCCAGCAGCCGCAGUAA